AGUCGUAAAAGGUUUCCGUAGGUGAACCUGCGGAAGGA
rnacentral:rRNA from 1 species